rnacentral:rRNA from 1 species
CAGAGCCGCGGGAACACGUAGGCGGCAAGCGUUGUCCGGAAUUAUUGGGCGUAAAGCGCGCGCAGGCGGUUUCUUAAGUCUGAUGUGAAAGCCCCCGGCUUAACCGGGGAGGGUCAUUGGAAACUGGGAGACUUAGAGUGCAGAAGAGGAGAGUGGAAUUCCAUGUGUAGCGGUGAAAUGCGUAGAUAUAUGGAGGAACACCAGUGGCGAAGGCGACUCUCUGGUCUGUAACUGACGCUGAGGCGCGAAAGCGUGGGGAGCAAAUAGGAUUAGAUACCCGCGUAGUCCCUGUCUCUUAUAC